GACGAACGCUGGCGGCGUGCUUAACACAUGCAAGUCGAACGGUGAAGCGCCUUCCUUUUUGGUGGGUGUGGAUGAGUGGCGAACGGGUGAGUAACACGUGAGUAACCUGCCCCCUUCUUCUGGAUAACCGCAUGAAAGUGUGGCUAAUACGGGAUAUUCUGGGUCUGUCGCAUGAUGGGUCUGGGAAAGAUAUUGUUUCGGUGGGGGAUGGGCUCGCGGCCUAUCAGCUUGUUGGUGGGGUGAUGGCCUACCAAGGCGGUGACGGGUAGCCGGCCUGAGAGGGUGGACGGUAACACGGGGACUGAGACACGGCCCAGACUCCUACGGGAGGCAGCAGUGGGGAAUAUUGCACAAUGGGCGCAAGCCUGAUGCAGCGACGCCGCGUGAGGGAUGGAGGCCUUCGGGUUGUGAACCUCUUUCGCCAGUGAAGCAGGCCUGCCUCGUUUGUGGGUGGGUUGACGGUAGCUGGAUAAGAAGCGCCGGCUAACUACGUG
rnacentral:rRNA from 1 species